rnacentral:tRNA from 1 species
UAGCUCAGUCGGUUGAGCAUGGCAUUGACAAUGCCAAGGCCGCGGGUUUGAUUCCCGU